GGGGGGAAAGGGGGCCGGUGGCUUCAUCUGGUCCCGAGCGCCGAGCCGCCGAUUCCCCCCUUGCGUUGUGUGUGCUGGCGGCGGCGACUGGAGAGGUUGCGGGAGACGGGGCGAGCCGCCGAGCCGGCGUCCGUGGAGGUCGCGCCGUCACGAGGAGAGGAGGGAGGCCGGCAGGCGGCGACGGAGGAAGCCGAGGCGCAGGCGAGCGCGCGGGCGCGGGGCGCCGAGGCGGAGCCGUAGAGGCACGGGUGGCGGGCGACGCGUGUGUGGCGGGCGCGCGAGCGCGGGGCGGAGCCGCGGAGGCGCGGUUGGCGGCCGGUGCUGGCGCGCUCCCCCCACGCGCGAUGCUACGGUGCUGCGUUGCCGACUUGCCGGUGGGCUAGGCGGGGCGACCGGCGACGGCGAGGCGGGCACUCCGGGCAGGCGGAGGCGACGACGGGCGACGGGCGACGGCAAGCUUCCGCGCCUCAGUGAGGGCGGAGGCCAGAGGCGCGACCGGCGGGCUCGCGCCUCGCGGAGUCGCGGGCACGCGGUGCUGCGUGGCUGGGCGACCGGCGACUCGGCGACAGCAAGCUUGGGCGGGUGGCGCACGGCAGGCCGGCAGGGGCAGUCGUUAGUCGAACAGGCGCGCAGGUGGUCCACGGGCGCCGGCGCUCGGCCCGACGACCGGCGGUUGGCGAGCCGCGAGUGGGACUGCUCGCGGCGGCAGCCGGCAGCGCUGUCCGGAACUACCUCAAUGGCUCAACGUCGGCGAGGUUGUCCUUCCACUCUUCCAGCGGACCAGCGACUCAGUGGGCAGGCUGCAGCAGACAGCAGUAGUCUCUAGACACUAGACAGUUAGAGCUUUGAACUUUGAAAUCUUAAGAUGAAAAGGAGGAGGGGGCCUGCGGUUGAUGUGAAGGAUUUUUUGCAAAGAAAUGCUUCAAAGAAGACAACUCAAAAUGAAGUUGAAGAUGUUCGAGGUGAAAAUCAAGGUGAGGAGAAUCUCAGUAGCAAUCCUUGGGUCAAUGAGAGUCAUCAUGGAGCGUCGUAAAGUUGUCCUCUAAAUGGACCGCACGGAGACGCUACCGAGCUCGAGGCUGGCCAUCUUCCGCUGGUGGCGCCACAUGUCGCCGUCGACGUUGAAGAUGCCGCCGCCGAGCAGGUCGCCGAGGAGCGCGGCGAAGGGCUUCCCCUUGGGGAAGUUGUCGAAGCGGGUCUUGAGCAUGUACUCGACGUUGGCCAUGACGGUGCAGCCGAGGACGUGGACAUGGACGGUGCCCAUCGGCGAGCGGCGGAGCAGUGCGCGUACCAGUCGCCGAGGUUGGUGAAGUCCCUCCUCCACGACCCGAUCAGGUAGGCCGGCACACAUGGCAGCUGCACCACGGCCACCGCCGGAGCAGU